GUGCCAGCAGCCGCGGUAAUACGGAGGGGGUUAGCGUUGUUCGGAAUUACUGGGCGUAAAGCGCGCGUAGGCGGGUUGUUAAGUUAGAGGUGAAAUCCCGGGGCUCAACCCCGGAACUGCCUUUAAUACUGGCAACCUAGAGUUCGAGAGAGGUGAGUGGAAUUCCGAGUGUAGAGGUGAAAUUCGUAGAUAUUCGGAGGAACACCAGUGGCGAAGGCGGCUCACUGGCUCGAUACUGACGCUGAGGUGCGAAAGUGUGGGGAGCAAACAGGAUUAGAUACCCGCGUAGUCCC
rnacentral:rRNA from 1 species